ensembl:snRNA U6 U6 spliceosomal RNA
CUGUUCACUUCGGCAGCACAUAUACUAAAAAUUCGAAUAAUAAGGAUAAGAUUAGCAUGACCUCUGGGCAAAAAUGACACACAGAUUGUAAAGCAUUUCUUAUUUUAA